rnacentral:lncRNA from 1 species
UGAAUUUGAACUUUGUCUUGUUUGAUUGUGGAAUGGUUUUUACUUUUAGAGUUUGUUUCAAUACUUUGGCAUGUUCCUUCUAGUUACUUGAGUAUCAAUUGCUUGAUUGUCUCCGUGUGUGAUAUGUGAAACCUGCAGUGCAAUAGCUUGUGGCACUCAUGUGAUCAAGAGGCAAAGGAAAGGAACGCACACUUUUUGACCGGUUCUUUUAUUCGACCCAACCGAGAGGUAUUGAGCCAAACACUCCUUUUUCUUCUAUGUGUGAUAUCCACUCAUGUAUUGUCUCUCGAUUUUGCUUGUCGUCUUUUUAUUUGAUUGGUACUUUUGUAGCACACACGAGGCAUGUUCCUUGGUCCCUUUGAGC